ACUUAAAUUGAAGAGUUUGAUCAUGGCUCAGAUUGAACGCUGGCGGCAGGCCUAACACAUGCAAGUCGAGCGGCAGCGGGAAAGUAGCUUGCUACUUUUGCCGGCGAGCGGCGGACGGGUGAGUAAUGCCUGGGGAUCUGCCCAGUCGAGGGGGAUAACAGUU
rnacentral:rRNA from 1 species